GUCGCGAUAGUCCAAUGGAUAGGGCGGCAAUCUUCUAAAUUGCAAGGUGUUGGUUCGAUUCCAACUCGCGAUACCA
rnacentral:tRNA from 1 species